rnacentral:rRNA from 1 species
GACGAACGCUGGCGGCGUGCUUAACACAUGCCAGUCGAACGGGAUUUAGUAAACGGAAGCCUCGGUGGAAGAUUACUAAUGAGAGUGGCGAACGGGUGAGUAACGCGUGAGCAACCUGCCUAUGACAGUGGGAUAGCCUCGGGAAACCGGGAUUAAUACCGCAUAAAAUCGUAGAAACACAUGUUUCAACGGUCAAAGAUUUAUCGGUCAUAGAUGGGCUCGCGUCUGAUUAGCUAGUUGGUGAGAUAACAGCCCACCAAGGCGACGAUCAGUAGCCGGUCUGAGAGGAUGAACGGCCACAUUGGAACUGAGACACGGUCCAAACUCCUACGGGAGGCAGCAGUGGGGAAUAUUGCACAAUGGGGGAAACCCUGAUGCAGCGACGCCGCGUGAACGAAGAAGGUAUUCGUAUCGUAAAGUUCUGUCCUAUGGGAAGAUAAUGACAGUACCAUAGAAGAAAGCGCCGGCUAAAUACGUG